CCUACGGGUGGCAGCAGUGAGGAAUAUUGGUCAAUGGGCUUACGCCUGAACCAGCCAAGUCGCGUGAGGGAAGACUGCCCUAUGGGUUGUAAACCUCUUUUGUCAGGGAGCAACGCCGGCUACGUGUAGCCGGACUGAGAGUACCUGAAGAAAAAGCAUCGGCUAACUCCGUGCCAGCAGCGGCGGUAAUACGGAGGAUGCGAGCGUUAUCCGGAUUUGUUGGGGUUAAAGGGUGCGUAGGCGGAAUGCCAAGUCAGCGGUAAAAUCGCGGGGCUCAACCUCGCUCCGCCGUUGAAACUGGCGUUCUUGAGUGGGCGAGAAGUAUGCGGAAUGCGUGGUGUAGCGGUGAAAUGCAUAGAUAUCACGCAGAACUCCGAUUGCGAAGGCAGCAUACCGGCGCCCAACUGACGCUGAAGCACGAAAGCGUGGGUAGCGAACAGGAUUAGAUACCCGGGUAGUC
rnacentral:rRNA from 1 species